ensembl:miRNA
AGCGCCAUUUUCAGAGCUAUAAGAGUGAAAGUUAUCAUAGCUCUUUAAAUGGUACUGC